CCUACGGGGGGCUGCAGUAAGGAAUAUUGGUCAAUGGAGGAAACUCUGACCCAGCCAUCCCGCGUGAAGGAUGAAGGGGCUCUGCCUUGUAAACUUCUUUUGUCUGGGGCGAAACAGCUCGAUUUAUCGAGAACUGACGGUACCAGAAGAAUAAGCACCGGCUAACUCCGUGCCAGCAGCCGCGGUAAUACGGAGGGUGCAAGCAUUAUCCGGAUUCACUGGGUCUAAGGCGGCUUUAGGCGUCAUAGGUGAAAGGCUGUGGCUUAACCAGGGAAUUGCCAUUGAUACUGCAGAGCUUGAAUGAGGUUGAGGUUGGCGGAAUGUGACAUGUAGCGGUGAAAUGCUUAGAUAUGUCAUGGAACACCGAUUGCGAAGGCAGCUGACUGGACCUAUAUUGACGCUGAGGCACGAAAGCGUGGGGAGCGAACAGGAUUAGAUACCCGAGUAGUC
rnacentral:rRNA from 1 species